rnacentral:sRNA from 1 species
UGAUCCUAUAUACAUAGUUGUUUGUUUCAAAAAUUGCCGAUUUUCUCCACGUAUGUGGAGG